AACAAACUAAAGAUAUCAUAUUCCACAGAGAUGACUUCGUGUCCUCUACUUCCUGUUUCUGAUACUGACUCUGGGCUACUGAAACUGCUGUUAUCUCUACUCUCCAGACUCAGUCAGGUCCAGGUUGGUACUCUAUUGCAACUCCUGUUAUCUCGACUGUCCAGACUCAGUCAGGUCCAGGUUGGUACUCUAUUGCAACUCCUGUUAUCUCUACUGUCCAGACUCAGUCAGGUCCAGGUUGAUACUCUACUGUCCAGACUCAGUCAGGUCCAGGUUGGUACUCUACUCUACUGUCCAGACUCAGUCAGGUCCAGGUUGGUACUCUACUCUACUGUCCAGACUCAGUCAGGUCCAGGUUGAUACUCUACUGUCCAGACUCAGUCAGGUUCAGGUUGAUACUCUACUCUACUGUCCAGACUCAGUUGGGUCCAGGUUGGUACUCUACUCUACUGUCCAGACUCAGUCAGGUCCAGGUUGGUACUCUACUCUACUGUCCAGACUCAGUCAGGUCCAGGUUGGUACUCUACUCUACUGUCCAGACUCAGUCAGGUCCAGGUUGAUACUCUACUGUCCAGACUCAGUCAGGUUCAGGUUGAUACUCUACUCUACUGUCCAGACUCAGUUGGGUCCAGGUUGGUACUCUACUCUACUGUCCAGACUCAGUCAGGUCCAGGUUGGUACUCUACUCUACUGUCCAGACUCAGUCAGGUCCAGGUUGAUACUCUACUCUACUGUCCAGACUCAGUCAGGUCCAGGUUGAUACUCUACUCUACUGUCCAGACUCAGUCAGGUCCAGGUUGAUACUCUAC